CUCAGGACGAACGCUGGCGGCGUGCCUAAUACAUGCAAGUCGAGCGGACAGAUGGGAGCUUGCUCCCUGAUGUUAGCGGCGGACGGGUGAGUAACACGUGGGUAACCUGCCUGUAAGACUGGGAUAACUCCGGGAAACCGGGGCUAAUACCGGAUGGUUGUUUGAACCGCAUGGUUCAAACAUAAAAGGUGGCUUCGGCUACCACUUACAGAUGGACCCGCGGCGCAUUAGCUAGUUGGUGAGGUAACGGCUCACCAAGGCAACGAUGCGUAGCCGACCUGAGAGGGUGAUCGGCCACACUGGGACUGAGACACGGCCCAGACUCCUACGGGAGGCAGCAGUAGGGAAUCUUCCGCAAUGGACGAAAGUCUGACGGAGCAACGCCGCGUGAGUGAUGAAGGUUUUCGGAUCGUAAAGCUCUGUUGUUAGGGAAGAACAAGUACCGUUCGAAUAGGGCGGUACCUUGACGGUACCUAACCAGAAAGCCACGGCUAACUACGUGCCAGCAGCCGCGGUAAUACGUAGGUGGCAAGCGUUGUCCGGAAUUAUUGGGCGUAAAGGGCUCGCAGGCGGUUUCUUAAGUCUGAUGUGAAAGCCCCCGGCUCAACCGGGGAGGGUCAUUGGAAACUGGGGAACUUGAGUGCAGAAGAGGAGAGUGGAAUUCCACGUGUAGCGGUGAAAUGCGUAGAGAUGUGGAGGAACACCAGUGGCGAAGGCGACUCUCUGGUCUGUAACUGACGCUGAGGAGCGAAAGCGUGGGGAGCGAACAGGAUUAGAUACCCUGGUAGUCCACGCCGUAAACGAUGAGUGCUAAGUGUUAGGGGGUUUCCGCCCCUUAGUGCUGCAGCUAACGCAUUAAGCACUCCGCCUGGGGAGUACGGUCGCAAGACUGAAACUCAAAGGAAUUGACGGGGGCCCGCACAAGCGGUGGAGCAUGUGGUUUAAUUCGAAGCAACGCGAAGAACCUUACCAGGUCUUGACAUCCUCUGACAAUCCUAGAGAUAGGACGUCCCCUUCGGGGGCAGAGUGACAGGUGGUGCAUGGUUGUCGUCAGCUCGUGUCGUGAGAUGUUGGGUUAAGUCCCGCAACGAGCGCAACCCUUGAUCUUAGUUGCCAGCAUUCAGUUGGGCACUCUAAGGUGACUGCCGGUGACAAACCGGAGGAAGGUGGGGAUGACGUCAAAUCAUCAUGCCCCUUAUGACCUGGGCUACACACGUGCUACAAUGGACAGAACAAAGGGCAGCGAAACCGCGAGGUUAAGCCAAUCCCACAAAUCUGUUCUCAGUUCGGAUCGCAGUCUGCAACUCGACUGCGUGAAGCUGGAAUCGCUAGUAAUCGCGGAUCAGCAUGCCGCGGUUGAAUACGUUCCCGGGCCUUGUACACACCGCCCGUCACACCACGAGAGUUUGUAACACCCGAAGUCGGUGAGGUAACCUUUUAGGAGCCAGCCGCCGAAGGUGGGACAGAUGAUUGG
rnacentral:rRNA from 2 species